rnacentral:tRNA from 1 species
UACGAUUAAUCUUUUGAAGAAUUUGUUUUGAAAACAAAAUUUAUCAGUUCAAU